AAAUGUUGGUAUGACGUCGCGGCCAGUAACUGAUUCAUUCAGCCAGGUUGUGAAGAACAAGAAUGGAAAAAGAGGUCGCAUUGGUGGAAGUAGUGUGCAAAAUAAAUGUACAGAACCACCGAACUCUCGUGGCGCGAAUGUGACAGCGACUUCUCGUGCGGAAGUUGGAAGCACAAGCAUACCCAUGCCUGCAAUGUAUGGAUUGCAACCCGUGUUGCCAGCGGUACAACCGAUGUUGCAUCCAAUGCAUGUACAACCGUUAAUCCCACUAUAUCCAACGACAGUUGCGGAAAAUUCGGGUUCGUGUUUCGGUAGGCCACAACGACUGAUGAACAAUGGUGGUACUUGAACGAGCAAAUAAGUAGCUGUAAUUUGACCAGGCAUGACUUUGGAGGUGAUUUUUAGUGGAUGGAUGAACAAUGGGCUGAGUAUUUAGGUAAUUACGUUUACGAUGAG